rnacentral:rRNA from 1 species
UACGUAGAAGACUAGUGUUAUUCAUCUUUAAUAGGUUUAAAGGGUACCUAGACGGUAUAAUUAGUCUUAAACAGGAUACGAUUAUACUAGAGUUAUAUAUGAGGAGGUGAGUAUUUAUGCAGUAGAGUUGAAAUUCGUUGAUAGCAUAACGACUGGUAAGCGGCAGAAGCAACCUUUUAUCUAAUAACUGACGUUGAGGGACGAAGGCUCGGGUAACGAACAGG